UUGGGCCUAGGAUCAUGAAACUUUAUAGGUACAUUGAUCAUGACUCGCAGAUGACCCCUAUUGAUUUUGAGGUCACUAGGUCAAAGGUCAAGGUCACGGUGACCCGAAAUAGUAAAAUGGUUUUUGAAUGAUAACUCAAGAACGCAUACGCCUAGGAUCAUGAAACUUCAUGGGUAGAUUGAUCAUGACUCGCAGAUGACCCCUAUUGAUUUUGAGGUCACUAGGUCAAAGGUCAAGGUCACGGUGACCCAAAAUAGUAAAAUGGUUUUCGGAUGAUAACUCAAGAACGCAUAUGCCUAAGAUCAUGAAACUUCACAGGUAGAUUGAUCAUGACUCGCAGAUGACCCCUAUUGAUUUUGAGGUCACAAGGUCAAAGGUCAAGGUCACGGUGAC